CACGUAGGGCGCAAGCGUUGUCCGGAAUUAUUGGGCGUAAAGAGCUCGUAGGCGGUCUGUUGCGUCCGCUGUGAAAACUCGGGGCUUAACCCCGAGCCUGCAGUGGAUACGGGCAGACUAGAGGUAGGUAGGGGAGAAUGGAAUUCCCGGUGUAGCGGUGAAAUGCGCAGAUAUCGGGAGGAACACCGGUGGCGAAGGCGGUUCUCUGGGCCUUACCUGACGCUCAUGCACGAAAGCGUGGGGAGCAAACAGG
rnacentral:rRNA from 1 species